ensembl:lncRNA
GGUGCACUCGGGCCUCAAGGCCCCGACCCAGAAGAAGAAGUCAAAACCAUCUCAAGCCAACUCAAUUACGGUUUUAUCAAAAUAAGAAUGUCACGUCAUAAAACUAAUAAGGUCCUUACUCUUUCCAAAUCCAAUUUCCCAGUGGUUUUGGAUGUUGUCCCACAAACUCACACACACUGAUAAACUCUAAAUACAGCAUUUGUUCCCUACAGGACGAUUGACGAAAGCCCUCCAUUCCAAAAACACUGUCAAGAUGGAGAGAUCAACUGGGUCAGCGUCAGCGGCGGAGGAAGGAAGGGCGAGAAUCAACGGCGGGUGAAAGUCAGAAAAAUAGACACAGGAAGAGACACACAUGGAGAAACAAACACACCCGGAGGGGAACGAGAGGGAGCAGAGAACCGGAGGAGUGAACGAGCAGACUCCAGUGUCCCUGGGCGAGGCCUGCAGGAAAUGAUGUUCGGUUUCGGAGAGAUGAGGAUGAGAAAAGCAGCUGUGGGGGGGGUGUCUGCCGCCUCCUCUGGGGGCCAACGCCGCCGAUGCCACCAACACCACGCGGUUGAUGAGCAAAAAGCGCCGUCGGUGAACGGCCGCUGAGGAAACGCUGAUUAGACUGCGGCUCCGGCUCUCUGCGUGUCACUAGUAACGUCUGAUCUGAGCGAUGCAAAAAACAACAGCAACGUGCCAUGAAAGAAUAAAACAUGCAGAGUUACAAAUAACUGAGAUAACAGUGGAAAAAUACAGAUACGCACGCAUUGAUGGCCGGGAUAAUUGUAGUAAUAGACUCACUUAAUCCCAGUUUAAGAGUUUUCAUUUAUCGCGUAACAAAGUAAACAAACACACAGUAGAACGGAGUAAAAACAGGUCUGAGUCGUGCCUGAGAUCAAAAUGUCCAAAGGACGAUUAAGUACACCGUUUAUAGCACGAAGCAGCAACAAAACCACAAAAAGUCCAGA